AUAUUUGUCUGGCAGGGGAGAUAUUAUGAUCAUGAAGGUUGAUUUCCCAGAGCAAGGCUUAUCCAUUAUACUCCAGAUGUGCCAACCCCUAUAAUUUCCCCAAAUGUGGGAAAAUCAACUGCAUAAUUUGUUGUAGUGGGGGUGGAGGACCUGUGUUAGCACCUUCCCCUA